UAAGAUAGAAAACAAUUUAGUAACGGAUUAACAUAUCCGUUACUAUUCCGUUACUAAUUUUUGUAACAGAUACAAAUCCGUUACUAAUUUGUUUUAAUUUUCAUUAUAUAGUAACGGAUAUUCAAAUCCGUUACUGAAGUGCAAUUCGUUAACAUAUUUUAGUAACGGAUUAUGAUAUCCGUUACUAAAUUAUUAUAUAGUAACGGACUAAAUCCGUUACUAAAGUUAAAUUGCUAACUUAAAAACUUUCCUCUUUUUCUCCCCCGUCAUUCACACAAAACUCUGAGCUCUCUGUUAACAAAUUAAAUCCCUAGCUAUAUUGAUCAAUCGAUCCCAGCUUCCUCUCUUGGUUCAUCGCCGGCGGAAUUUGACGCCAGACCAGUUGACGCCACUCCCCUUGGUUCAUCGCCGUCAACCGUCUCUUUCUUCCCUCCCCUCGGUUCAUUGCCGUCUCUUGCUCCCCUCCAUUUGGUACAUUGCUGUGUUCUAUCAGAGAUUGGUUUGAGAUAUCGUGUUCUUGCUUUCAGACCAGUUGACGCCUGCAGACCCCUUUUUUGCUUCCAGAGAUUGCGUUCAUCUCAAAUUUUUCUUCUCCUUCAGUCUGUCUAUAAAGUUACUUCACUACUGACACAUGCAAAUGAGCUUUCAGCACAUGCUGAUAGGGUUGCAGCAGGCUUGUAUUCUGAUUUCGCUUCAGCAAUUUUUUUCUGGACGUGCCAAAAAUGGUUUUGCUCUAGUAUGAAGGUUUAAAAGUUAAUAUAAGUUAUUCAUUAUUACAAGGUUGUGCAGGGAACUAUACCGAGUCCUUUCUUAUCUACUUUUAUUUUUACAUAUUCUUGAAUUAUGUUAUCAUGCUGGUGUAAGACAAGCCAUUGGAUUCUGCCUCCACAAUAAUGCUGCAGCUGCUGCACUAGCUACUGGUGCCAAUAAGCUGCUAAUAGUCAACUGGAAUGUUCAUCAUGGAAAUGGCAUAUGUAUUUCUACUGUUGCACGUCAAAUUGAAGAUAAGAAGAUUGGUUGUUUUUUAUUUAAUUUUUAUAGUGGUUAAAUGAAUAAAACUAUGACAUUCAGCAGCUUGGGAUUAGAAUCCCACAUCGUCCAAGAGCUGGGAAAUUAGUAGGUUUAUAUAUUCCAGCC